rnacentral:rRNA from 1 species
GACGAACGCUGGCGGUGUGCUUAACACAUGCAAGUGGUGCGACGAACCAGAGCUUGCUCUGGGCAAGCCGCGAACGGUGAGUAACACGUGGGUAAUCUACCCCGAUGACCGGGACAACCCGAGGAAACUCGGGCUAAUACCGGAUGUGGUACGGAGACAUAAGUCUCUUUACUAAAGGUAGCUUCGGCUUCCGCAUUGGGAGGGCCGCGGCCCAUUAGCUAGUUGUGGGUCAAGGCCUACCAAGGCAACGAUGGUAGCUGGUCUGAGAGGACGAUCAGCCACACUGGACUGAGACACGGCCCAGACUCCUACGGAGCAGCAGUGGGAAUCUUGCGCAAUGCGCGAAAGCGUAGACGCAGCAACACCGCGUGAGGGAAGA